AGCACCCUGUGCUCUGAGGGUGUCUUGCCCGCCGGGCGCCGUGGCUCACGCCUGUAAUCCCAACACUUUGGGAGGCUGAGGCGGGCGGAUCACUUGAGGUCAAGAGUUCAAGACCAGCCUGGCCAACAUGGUGAAAGCCCAUCUCUACUAAAAAUACAAAAAUUAGCCAGGUGUGGUGGCGGGUGCCUGUAGUCCCAGCUAUUUGGGAGGCUGAGGCAGGAGAAUCGCUUGAACCCAGGAGGUGGAGGUUGCAGUACGAUUCUACUCUAAAAGUCACCAGGAAAAAUUCAGCUCCACUGGUCCUGGCUCUAAGUCUACUAGCAAAAUCUUCCAGAGAAGUGGAAAAGCCAUCAGCCAAUGUGUUAGACUAUCAUUUCCAUGACCUUACACCUAUCAAAAAGGCACUAUUACCAGGCUUAUAGAAUUCUAAAAAAGUUGGAAACCAUUUUCCAUUAUAAAAGAAAUUCUUCCAAAUCACACAAAACACUCUGACACUUCUCCAAUUCCCCCUAUCAUGGGGCUGGCAGCAGCCGCUUUGCGUCCUGAAUGUCAUGACAGUGAUGAUAACAGUAAUGAUGAUAACAGCAAUGAUGAAGUCUCACAUUUAAAAUUUUCAAGUCACUCAUCACAUCCCAAGUCACUCCCUUCAUUACCUUUUAUUUAUACUGGAGUCAUCCUGUGUGCCUCAGUCAGACCAUUUUGUAUGUACAAUGACCGACAAUGAGAUUUAACAUGCAGUUUGCAGAUCCUCCCUUCUCUGGGUCACCUGAAAAUAAGCCACAAACAAAGGAAUGAAAUUGUUGAUGAAAAGGGAAGAGGCAAGACUCCAUAUGAAGAAUACAACUGACUCACCUGUCUGUACAUGCCUCUGUGUGUGUGUUUUAUAUUGGUGCUGGUGAAGAUAGUUCUUUAUGCUGAUGCUUAAUAAGGUGAAAUGUGUCUAUUUUCUUCCAUUGGCCCAGGCACAGAUGCGAUUAUAAUUGCUAAGAUUAUUUGCAUAUUGGCUUUUAAUGAUGCAUUUAAAAAUAUUCAUCCCAUUUACUGACUUAUGCAGGCAAUGUACUUUUGUAAAUGUGGGCCAGCAUCAUGCUUAAAUUCCCAAACCACUAUUUAUUUAAAACUCAUCACUUCAGUUUUUAUACCCUUUCUCCCCCAUAAGGGAAAAAAUAUGAUUCUGACUGUAUAAGCACCAACUAAACAGAACACAAAACAUGGCAGACGAUAAAAACAUAUUUUCACAAAUGAGACAUGUCAUUUUACCAUCGAGGAGAGAAACAAAAUAAGCUGGUUUUCAAGUUCCAUAUCUUGUGUGCUCCUUUCAGCUAAAUGCCCUUACAUCUGUAAGCCCUUGGGACAGGUUAAGGCUUUUAUUAUUAUUUUAAAGUCUUCAUAACUACAACCUAGCAUCCAAAGUGAAACAGAUGCUAUUGGAUAUGAGUAGCAUAUGCAAUGGAAAUAUUGACAUUGCCUUCCCGACAGUCAUGAGGGAUAGACCAUAGGCUUUUUGGUAACCUAUAUUUUCUAGGCCCAAAGCAGGGAAUGAGAUGGCAGGGAAAUUCAGGGUAAACUCCAAAUUUACAUAAAGUUAUAGAAGAAUAUAGAUCAUGAGUAGUGGCUAGCACCUUCCUGACUUCCAGAAAAUGGUGGUGCCGAUAUUGAACAACAGUUUGGAGAAAAUGUAAAAUGUUUACAUUUACAUUUACAGUUUAGUCUUUGAACAACAGUUUGGAGAAAAUGUAAAAUGAAAAUUUGUUAACGAACUUGUUUUUAAAAAG
rnacentral:lncRNA from 10 species